rnacentral:lncRNA from 1 species
AAUUUUAUUAUUUAAUUUAAUUAAAUUUUAUUUAUAAAAAGAUUUGAAUGUGUAGUAUUUUAAUAACAAAUAUAUAAUUUGUAUUUGUAUAGACAUACUUACAUAGAUUACAUAGCAAAUAUAAUGUUUGUAUAUACGUGUAUUGUAUCGAUUACAUAAUAACUAAAGUAAUCAACGUUGAAAGGCCAAAUCCUUCUUAUAUAUUCUCCCUAAGGCCUACGAUAAAUAACAAUUUAUACUCAUAGAUACUUGAAUCUCUUCUAAGACGACUAAACGAAAACUCCAAUAGCACAUGUAGAUCGAAUCGACCUGUACACAAAUCGAUCACAGUUAGAAAACGAGUCCGGGACUCUUCACCGGUCGGACUCAAUGCUUCAAGAUGGCGAGCAAUGACAUCACAACCGAAGCCCCGACCACAGCCAUCGAGCCGAAAACAGCCACCGCAGCUCCAGCCUUUGGCCCUGGUGUUGGCUCUGAUGAUGGCGCCGAGCCAAUGUCCUGUCCGGUAGAGUAAGCAAAACAGAAGAUUGCGAUGAAGGCAAGGGACCUGAACAUGGUGCUCAUUUGAGAAACCAUUGUAGAAGCUCUAAAGAGAAAAGAAAUAGCUUGAAAUGAAGUUGAUCGUUGCUGAUCACAGUGGUAACCGUUAUUUAUAGGAAGGGGAAGGCGCGUGGGGCCCGUCGGGAGUGUGGAUGCGUGGAGUGGAGAGAGAGGAAGUAACAAGUGUUGGCGCGUGAUUGGGUGGGGAUAGUUAGAUGGAUGUCUCGUUUGUGUGCGCUCUGCGCCAUGAGAACG